rnacentral:rRNA from 1 species
GUGGGGAAUAUUGGACAAUGGGCGCAAGCCUGAUCCAGCCAUGCCGCGUGAGUGAUGAAGGCCUUAGGGUUGUAAAGCUCUUUCGUCAGGGAAGAUAAUGACGGUACCUGAAGAAGAAGCCCCGGCUAACUUCGUGCCAGCAGCCGCGGUAAUACGAAGGGGGCUAGCGUUGCUCGGAAUCACUGGGCGUAAAGCGCACGUAGGCGGCUUUCUAAGUCAGGUGUGAAAUCCUGGAGCUCAACUCCAGAACUGCCUUUGAUACUGGAGAGCUUGAGUUCGGGAGAGGUGAGUGGAACUGCGAGUGUAGAGGUGAAAUUCGUAGAUAUUCGCAAGAACACCAGUGGCGAAGGCGGCUCACUGGCCCGAUACUGACGCUGAGGUGCGAAAGCGUGGGGAGCAAACAGGAUUAGAAACCCCUGUAGUCC